rnacentral:tRNA from 1 species
GUCCCUGUAGCGCAAUGGAUAGCAAGUUGGACUUCUCAUCCAAAGGUCGUGGGUUCGAAUCCCACCUGGGAUG